CCCUUCGGUUGAUCCCGGCGGAGGCCACUGCUAUCGGAGUUCGAUUAAGCCAUGCGAGUCGAGAGGUGUAAGACCUCGGCAUACUGCUCAGUAACACGUGGACAACCUACCCUAAGGAGGGGGAUAACCCCGGGAAACUGGGGAUAAUACCCCAUAGACUAUGGAUGCUGGGAUGCUCUGUAGUUGAAAGGUCCGCCGCCUCAGGAUGGGUCUGCGGCCGAUUAGGUUGUUGUUGGGGUAACGGCCCAACAAGCCUGUAAUCGGUACGGGUUGUGGGAGCAAGAGCCCGGAGAUGGAUUCUGAGACACGAAUCCAGGCCCUACGGGGCGCAGCAGGCGCGAAAACUUUACAAUGCGAGCAAUCGUGAUAAGGGAACUCCGAGUGCCCGUAAAAUCGGGCUGUCCGCCAGUGUAAAUAACUGGUGAAGAAAGGGCCGGGCAAGACCGGUGCCAGCCGCCGCGGUAAUACCGGCGGCUCGAGUGGUGGUCACUAUUACUGGGCUUAAAGCGUUCGUAGCUGGUCUGUUAAGUCUCUGGGGAAAUCUUCCGGCUUAACCGGAAGGCGUCUCAGGGAUACUGACAGACUAGGGACCGGAAGAGGUGAGAGGUACUCCAGGGGUAGGAGUGAAAUCCUGUAAUCCUUGGGGGACCACCUGUGGCGAAGGCGUCUCACCAGGACGGCUCCGACAGUGAGGAACGAAAGCUGGGGGAGCAAACCGGAUUAGAUACCCGGGUAGUCCCAGCUGUAAACGAUGCGCGUUAGGUGUAUCGGUGACCACGAGUCACCGAGGUGCCGAAGAGAAAUCGUGAAACGCGCCGCCUGGGAAGUACGGUCGCAAGGCUGAAACUUAAAGGAAUUGGCGGGGGAGCACCACAACGGGUGGAGCCUGCGGUUUAAUCGGACUCAACGCCGGGAAACUCACCGGAUAAGACAGCUGAAUGAUUGCCGGGCUGAAGACUCUGCAUGACUAGCUGAGAGGAGGUGCAUGGCCGUCGUCAGUUCGUACUGUGAAGCAUCCUGUUAAGUCAGGCAACGAGCGAGACCCAAAGG
rnacentral:rRNA from 1 species